GUACGUUGCUUGGCACUGCUUAUUGUAUUGUGCACCAUAUAUUUAUUACACUGUAAAAUUAGAAAAAUGCACUUCGUUUUAUUACACGCUAUUUAGUUUGAAUUCUGCUAACCACACUAAAGCGCUGUAACGUCGCCUCCACGUUCCACUAAUGUUUGUUUAUAUAUGUUUUUUAAAGCUUUAAAAUGAAAAGCCUCUUUUACCUGUUGGUUAUGUAUUGUAAUGUGUUUGCUGUUUUAGAGUGUGACAUCAUAUGAGUGUAUGACUAUAGGUUGUAUGUUUCUGUAGGUUUGCAUCACUGUAUUUCCCAAGUUACUGUAUGCAUGUGGCGUAUGCUGUGAAGUUCAUUUUUUGCUGUGAUCAAAGUGCUUAUUAAUGUGACUUAGACAUUAACUGUCUGCAGCUUUUGUGUUAUUCAAAUCAAGUCUUUUUCAAAUUUUGUGAGUUUACCAAGCACUCAUGUGUAAUAAUGGGAUGGUUCACCCAGAAAUUAACUUUCAUUUUAUGCAAGCUCGAAUAUUCCAAAUGUUUCUAUCUUCUGCUAAACACAAAAGAUGAUGUUUUCAUGAACAUGCAGAACCAAAUUGUUGACGUCUCUACUGAGUUAUUAUAAGGAUCUCAUUCUUUACAUCUUAUUUUGUGUUUGUCACAAGAAAUUUCAUAAAAUUUUGAAGACUUGAGUAAAUAAUGACAGAAUUGUCAUUUUUGGGUGUACAAACUUUUUAGUCCAUGCAGAUUUAGUGGUACUUGUCCACUUUUGACAAACUGUAAGGUUCUCAACAAGCUUUUACAUAUUUAGAAUUUCAAACUGCCAAAAUUGAAAUGUGCCUAUGUAAAAAGCUCUAGUUAAAGCUCUGUCAUCACUGACUUCUAUAGCAUGAACAAAAAUACUGUGGAAAUCAAAGGUUUCCGUCUACUUUCUGGUUAUCAAUGCUCUUCAAAAACACGUUCAUCUGUGUUCAGCCAAAGAAAAGACUGGAUAGAGCACAAAUGAGGACCGAAUUUUUUUAUUGUUAUGAUAAUGUGAUCUGUUUGUGGCACAUUUCUGUUAUUUAAGUAUUUUACUGUAGACGUUCAUAUUCCUCGUCAUCAUAGUAUGUUUUUACCAAAGUUGGUUGGUAAAUACUAAUAGUGUGUAUUUGAAUCUGACAUUAAUACUAGUAUCUCAAAAUAAUGUAAAACAUUUAUGUAGCACAGUAGACUAUUUUGUAAGUAUACUCAAUACUUCAUUGACUACCUAUUUUAUUUUUGUAAUGUCACCUCAUGUCUCCCUCCCCAACUUUAUAUUAUUUAAUAUAGAAUGUGAGUGUAACUGAAUGAAGCUGAAUUUAACACUAAGGAUUUAUAAGGUAAGACUGAAAAUACAGGUCUGUGCUUGUUGUAUCAGAAGGCGCAUGGUGAUAUUAAAGUCAUAAAAGUAAAUGGGUUUCUGUUGAUAAUGUCUACUGUUGAGGUCAAUUAAAGGGUUAGAUUUGGAUUAGUUUAGUGCUUAUAAGCAAUUAUGGUACCCUUAAACCUUUAAACUUCGCCUGGUAUCAACGUGUUCAUAUGGAUUUAAUGUUGUAAAUUAUAUUCAGAUUUCAUAGAGAACAUUUGUUGUAUUUCAUUAUGCUCUCCAUCACUUUUCUUGUGAGUGUACGGAUGAAUUAAUAAACCCACGUUACAUAGCUUAUAAGUAGGGCCAGGCAGAAUCUGCUGGCAUUUUUUGCUAUUUCUGCACAAUUUAGGCUAAAAUAUUUCGAGAGUAUCAUAACUAAACACCUAAUAUAUUAAAUAAAAAAUAAUAACUUUUUUCUUUUCACUGCAAAUCCAUUUAGAUUCACUUAUUUAGUAAACAAAUCAAGUCUCUCAUCUAAUAUAUCUACUAAAAGACAGAAAAUAUAACUUUACAAACUGUAUUGUGAAUUGAUCAAUUUCAUAUUAGGCAAUAAUACUGAAAUUGAUUUAAAAGCUGAAUAGAUAAUGUACACAUGUAAGUAAAUACACUUGGUAAGCUAGAAAUCUGCGGAGAUCUGUGUGUGGACCUAUCCACUUGUUAAGUGUGACGUCACGCGAAGUGGCUUCCGGGUCCAAGCACUCUAUUCAACUGAAUGGGGAGACUCAUGAAAUGGUACUAAUAAACGUUUACAAAGCGAUUUAAGGCUUUUGAAAAUCACGAUCGCAAUAUAUAUGUCCAUGCCUAAUAUCCGAUGGCCAGAAAGUGAUACAUUUUUUGUAAAUUGUUAAAAUUUUGGUAUUUGUUAUGCAGCAAGCCAAGAGAUUGUUGUGUACACAAUGAUUUUAUAUAAAAUUAACUUUAAUGUGUGAUAGGAAUAAAACGUGAUCAUAAACUAAUGAUUUCUCCACUCAAGUGAGUGGCGGCUUGGACCCGGAAACAGUAUUACAUACGUCACAAACACGUCACCACUUAACAAGCGGAUUUACAAGUAAGUGCGAAAGCGAGUGGUUGAAACUAAAUUGAAUGGAAACCAAUAUUUUGAUUGUAAGAGCUUUUGUUUUGAUUUGCUUUCUUGAAGCUCAUCACAUCAUUAAGGUGAAAUUAGGUCGUUUUUGUUUCGCUUCAGUUUGUAUGCAUUGAGCACAUGAGCAUUUACACUAUGAAAGCAGUCUAAUUAGGGCAUUUUGAAUACCUCUGAAGGAGUCCACUUUUUAUCUGAUUGGCAAGAAUGUAUCCUAAUACGAGGUGUAAACAGCACCUAGAGCCUGUUUUGGCCGUUGACCAUUACAGAUCUAAAACAUUCAUUUGAGCUUUUUGGUUCUUCAUUACAAAUAGGCCUAUUUAUAGAAACCUCUAGUCAGAAUAUUUUUUUGCCAUUGCUCUUUCUGGUAUACCAUCAACCCCAGAUCAGUGUUUUUAGUUCUUUACCUGACCUCUCAGAUAUAAUGUGAAUUGCAAUGCUGAAUAGUGUGAAACCAUUUCCGUCCAGAAACGUAAGCUAAAGUUUGUUAUGAUGUCUUUGGAGUGUUGUUGUUGUUUUAUAAUUGGAGUAAAGCAGCAUGUUGGAGUAAUCGCUGUACUAAGAUUGGAUUGUAUUGGAUUCUUUUAUACCUUGUAUUGUUUAACCCUAUUAUGAAAGUGAAAUAAAACACUUACAAAAUCCAAA
rnacentral:lncRNA from 1 species